UUCUGGAUUCUUCUGAACUUUAAUAUAAAAUACCCUUCUCCCGAAAUUUAAUUGAUAAGCGAAUUAUUAAACCUCUGUGCUCUAAUUUCAAUAUUAAGCUAACAAAUUAUCGUCCAUAGUUCAAUCAGGAUUUUUAUUUAGAGCUAUUUAUCUUUAGAUCUGUGCUUUGCUGUUGGAGAAUCAAGAAUGUCUCGCGGGAACCAGAGAGAUCGAGAUCGUGAAAGGGCACAAGCCAGGGGAAAUCACAAGUCCAAGACACCUAAAAAUGAUGGAUUAACUCCUGAACAACGAAGAGAAAGGGAUGCAAAGGCACUUCAAGAGAAGGCGAAAAAGAAAGCAGCACAGGCGGAAGAUGGAUGGAAUAUCAACAAAUCGGAAAGCCAUAACAUCAAGAAGAAAUAGAUUCAUGACGAGUUUCAUGGAACUUUUUAUCCUCAGUAAUUCUGGCAUGUAUUGUUUGGCUUUUGUACCUUUGAUUUGUGUCUUCAUCUGCAAUGAAAUUUACUCACUCUUCACAUUGUUGGAAAGAAAUAUAUAUUGAUCAAAGAAAUUUGAAUUGGCUAAGUGCUAAUAUAGUUAUAUUAAAUGAUCUAUGAAUCAAGUGAAGAUACUAAAAUAGCUACCAGAUUAUAAUUUCUAUCAAGGUAAAUAGUUUGAGGUGCGGAUAAGGCGACACUAUACUAUAUUAUAAAUUUAUCAUAAUGAAAAGAUUAUAUAAAAUUAUGUUAUGUGAUACCCUCAAAAUUUUAGAGGAGGAGAAGAAUAGGACAUGAGUAUUGUUUGACAUGAAAG
rnacentral:lncRNA from 1 species